rnacentral:tRNA from 1 species
UAUAUUUUAGUGUAUGAAGCACAAGAAUUUUUGAUAUUCUAGGAAUUAGUUUAAUUCUAUUAAAUAUAA